rnacentral:rRNA from 1 species
UACAGAGGGUGCUAGCGUUGUUCGGAAUCAUUGGGCGUAAAGGGCGUGUAGGCGGUUUGUUAAGUCAUGUGUGAAAGCCCCCGGCUCAACCGGGGAACGACGCAUGAAACUGGCAAGCUAGAGUACCGAAGAGGGGGGUGGAAUUCCACGUGUAGCAGUGAAAUGCGUAGAGAUGUGGAGGAACACCGAUGGCGAAGGCAGCCCCCUGGGUCAAGAUUGACGCUCAUGCACGAAAGCGUGGGGAGCAAACAGG